UCUGCCCCAACAGUCAUUCUUCAUAUGACCACCGUGUCAUAAUGACUGUUGGGGCAGAGCAGACUUUUUGUGAGU